rnacentral:snRNA from 1 species
AUCGCUUCUCGGCCUUUUGGCUAAGAUCAUGUGUAGUAUCUGUUCUUAUCAGUUUAAUAUCUGAUACGUCCUCGAUGAGAGGACUUUAUAUUAAACGGAUUUUUGAUCUUGGGAGCUGGACCCAGAGCUUGCUCCCUACUUUUAGAUGAUCUUUAAGGUCUCUUCCAACCCUAACCUUUCUGUGAUUAUCCCAG